rnacentral:rRNA from 1 species
UACAGAGGUGGCAAGCGUUGUUCGGAAUUACUGGGCGUAAAGGGCGCGUAGGCGGCCCUGUAAGUCAACGGUGAAAUCCCUCGGCUCAACCGAGGACGUGCCGUUGAUACUGCAGGGCUCGAGGCCGGGAGAGGGUAGUGGAAUUCCCAGUGUAGCGGUGAAAUGCGUAGAUAUUGGGAGGAACACCGGUGGCGAAGGCGGCUACCUGGACCGGUUCUGACGCUGAGGCGCGAAAGCGUGGGGAGCAAACAGG